rnacentral:rRNA from 1 species
GACGAACGCUGGCGGCGUGCUUAACACAUGCAAGUCGAACGGAAAGGCCCUGCUCUUGCGGGGUGCUUGAGAGGCGAAGGGGUGAGUAAAACGCGAGUAAACUGUACCUGAAUUAGGGAUAACUUCAGGAAACAGGGGAUAAUACAGGAUAGGAGAUUCUGAUGCAUGGGGGGGGAUGGAAAGAUUCGGCGGUUGGGGAUGGUAUAGGGGCUUAUCAGCUUGUUGGGGGGGUAGUGGCUUACCAAGUCUUUGACGGGUAGCCGGCCUGAGAGGGUGACCAGCCACAUGAGGCCUACGAGACGGCCCAGACUCCUACGUUAGGCAGCAGUGGGGAGUAUGGCACAGUGGGCGGAAGCCUGAUGCGGCAACGCCGCGUUCGUAAUGACCGCCUUCGAGUUGUGAACCGCUGUCGCCUGUGACGAAGCGUGAGUGACGGUAAUUAAUAAAGAAGCACCGGCUAACUACGUG